AGUCGAACGCACCUUCGGGUGAGUGGCGGACGGGUGAGUAACACGUGGGAACGUACCUUUUGGUUCGGAAUAACGCAGGGAAACUUGUGCUAAUACCGAAUGUGCCCUUCGGGGGAAAGAUUUAUCGCCAUUAGAGCGGCCCGCGUUAGAUUAGCUAGUUGGUGAGGUAAAGGCUCACCAAGGCUACGAUCUAUAGCUGGUCUGAGAGGAUGAUCAGCCACAUUGGGACUGAGACACGGCCCAAACUCCUACGGGAGGCAGCAGUGGGGAAUCUUGCGCAAUGGGCGAAAGCCUGACGCAGCCAUGCCGCGUGAAUGAUGAAGGUCUUAGGAUUGUAAAAUUCUUUCAGUAGGGACGAUAAUGACGGUACCUACAGAAGAAGCCCCGGCUAACUUCGUGCCAGCAGCCGCGGUAAUACGAAGGGGGCUAGCGUUGCUCGGAAUUACUGGGCGUAAAGGGAGCGUAGGCGGGUUAUCAAGUUGGGGGUGAAAGCCCGGGGCUCAACCUCGGAAUUGCCUUCAAAACUGGUAGCCUAGAGUAUGAUAGAGGUAUGUGGAACUCCGAGUGUAGAGGUGAAAUUCGUAGAUAUUCGGAAGAACACCAGUGGCGAAGGCGACAUACUGGGUCAUGACUGACGCUGAGGCUCGAAAGCGUGGGGAGCAAACAGGAUUAGAUACCCUGGUAGUCCACGCUGUAAACGAUGAUUGCUAGUUGUCGGACGGCAUGCCGUUCGGUGACGCAGCUAACGCA
rnacentral:rRNA from 1 species